UACAGAGGUCCCAAGCGUUGUUCGGAUUCACUGGGCGUAAAGGGUGCGUAGGCGGUUUGAUAAGUCUGAUGUGAAAUCCCGCAGCUUAACUGCGGAACUGCAUUGGAUACUGUUUGACUAGAGGAAUGGAGGGAGACUGGAAUACUUGGUGUAGCAGUGAAAUACGUAGAUAUCAAGUGGAACACCAGUGGCGAAGGCGAGUCUCUGGACAUUUCCUGACGCUGAGGCACGAAAGCCAGGGAGCAAACGGG
rnacentral:rRNA from 1 species